AGAUUUCCAUUGAUUGAAAGAAAAUGCAAUGGAAAACAUCUGGAGCUGUGCAUGGUGGUGCACACCUUUAAACCCAGCACUCAGGAGGCAAAGGAAGGCACAUUUUGUGCCCUCCCCACCUCCAAAUUGCCUCAGUUACAAAUCGGAAGGCAGGCUUGGUGACCAGGACUGGCAAGCACAUUUUAAAGUCCCAUGCUGUGGAGUUGAUCCAUCUCAACUUGAGAAGAGGCAGAAGUGGAUGUGAGAGAAAGAGACACACAGAGAGACAGAGAGCCAAAGACAGCAAGAGACUUGACUUUAAGAGACUCCUGUACUGACAACUCCAUGCAGUUUGGAACCAGAACGACUGCGGCUGAACCAGGGUUCAUGGGGACAUGGCAAAACGCUGAUACUAACCUCUUAUUCAGAAUGUCCCAACAGGUACGCCUUGUUGAAAUUGACAUUUUCACUGGCAGAAAACAUGAAGAUAUCUGUCCCUCAACUCACAACAUGGAUGUUCCAAAUAUUAAGAGAAAUGAUUAUCAAGGUGCAGUUCCCUCCUUUUUGAGGUUUCCAUUCAUUAUCCUUUGAAGGACUGGAUUUGUGGAAAGGAUAUGUUAUCCAUAAUUGCGGGAAGGGGCCAAAGUUCAUAUCAAAUAUUCCGAUUCGUACCAGAAAAAUCACACUGGUCCCUGAGGGAUAAGAUUUACACUGAACUACAUAUUAACUGUAGUGAAGAAUCUGUGCUCAUAGUAGCUUCCGUUUUAAAGUAUUCUACUGAAGAUGCCAUGUACAAAUUACAUCCUGCUAAAACAGCUCAUCUCUGUGCUAUUAAAAUGAAAACCUCUAUGAGGAAUCACUUAGACACCUACACCUUAUCUGUCUGCGUAGCCCCUCAUGUGCUGUGGGAUCCAACUUGCUGAACUCAUGAUUUGGGAGUGACCUCCCAAAAUAGCAGGGAAAAAUGAAACAACUUCAACAUAUAUCUUUUCACAAUGGAAAUUUCCUCAUGACUGAAGAAGUAGCUGGUCAUUUUAUUUCAAUGUUCUCUUCUACCUCCCUCUUAACCACAGCAGAAGAGAUUAUUAUGAGAAACAACUUCAGUUUUAUAUUUAACCAUAUUGUUACAUAGUUUCACUCACUAUAUUUAUUUUAUGUUGUGUAUUACACAUUCUUAUCUAUUAAUAUUAAUAAAUGGUAUUAAAUUAUGUUA